AAACCGUCCCUGUUAACCCUUGUGAUGUCCUUGGGUCAAAUUUGACCUGUUUUCAAAGUUUUUCAUAUCAGUGGUAUGGGUUUCUUACAAGCAAAUUGCCCAGACAUAACUUGGGUGCAGUUUGAAAAACAGUUUGACGUGAU